rnacentral:lncRNA from 1 species
CCUAAUUCCCUCGUCUCUCAAAUUCUCUCUAACACCACACGAAACCGUAGCCGCCUAUCGUCUUCUCCGACAAGAUCCACCAGCAUCCAUAGCUUCAUAGGGCCAUGGAUGGCCUGUACUCUCUUCCCUUCACUCACAAACCAAGAUUGUUCAAGGUGCUUUGAGGUUCGAUCUUCUACAAGCAAGUUCAAAUCCUCCACCUAUCUGAGUUCUUUUGGUUUCUCCGGCUCCGUUCCGGCGAGUUCCAGCUCCGAAAGGCGUAGCCAUGGCCCAGACCUACUCAGGACCAGAUCGUUCCGGGCCUUCUCAUUUCUAGGGUUUGUGAGAGACCCUAAAAGACCUUGUUUGAGGUUUUUGAUUCACUUAUUUUCUUAGAUCUGUAACAGAUCUGUGUUAUACUUGAUGUUUUAAUGCUUUCCACCAAUUUUCCUUUUCAAAAUUAGUCUGCUCAAAAUUACGAUUUUCAAAAAUCCUUAAAUGAUUCUUCUUCUUUUUCUUUCAUUUAAUCUGUGUGUCCAUGCCAUAUCUGAUGUGUUUUCGUUUGUUCUUAUGAUUUGUUGUUAAUACGUAUGUAUCGCUAUCUUUACUCUGUUAUUGCUUCUACUGGUAUCUAGAAGUAUGAUUUACAUGUUUACCUUGCAUGUCCUCUUACUAAUUCUCCUACUGAGAUUGUUUUCCUUUACUGAAUUCAUUUGGGUUCUAAACUUAUUUCUCUUAUUAUUUCCUACGUUCUUUGACUGAAAUGGUAUGAGAUUAUUUUAUUUCUAAAACUUGUUCUUUACAAGCUUUCACUCUACCUCUUCUAAUUUUCUACGUAUGUUUGUGUGUUUCCUCAGGGAACUCUGAACGAGUUUCCCAAGCUUGUUGUGAAGGAUUGCCUUAUCUUUUCUACUCUAAUUGAAACCAUAGGGUUUGGGUCUUUGCAAGUUUGACUCUAGGGUUUUGCCCUAAAAGACCCUGGACUCUCGAACUCACACAAAGUCUACAAUCAAUUUGGAAUUUCAUGCAUACAAUUUGAAAUCGUGUAUGCUAGUCUCUUUUGUAAAUACUAGUAUGCUUAUAUACGUGGGUGUUUUCUUCUGCAAUUGAUUCGGUUAACUUGUGAUUGAUUUCAAUCUCCUAUUACUAAGGCUCGAUUGAUUUGCUAUUGAUUUUACAACUCAACCCUUACCCUCUUUUCGUGACUAAGUUCAUUCAAGACUUUAAAACUUCCGGCUGUUUGAUUACUUUAUUUUCCUUAUUUUCUCAAAACCCUGUACUAUUAGCUUCUUACAUUAAAAAGACUAUAUGAACUUACCCCUAUUAUGCUACUCUAAAAGGUUUUAAUUAUUUUCCAUUCCUUAAUUAUUCAUUCACGUUUGAAAUCAAAUCCCUUUGACUAAGGUAGAUCCUAUUUGAUUGAUUUAAAUUUUAUUUCCUAGCCUUUUUGUUUACUCGUCUUUGCACUAUAAAAAAGACAACCUUCUCAGUUUUCAACACAGUUCUUUCUGCACCUUUGCAAUACAGUUCACACUUCAGAAAAUCGAAAAUACUUCUUAACAGUUCCCUCUCUACUAUCACUCUCUCUACUACUGCUUUCUCUACUACUACAGAUCACUAUGCUCAUUUCUCUGUUACUGUAUGAAUAUUCAGGAGUUACUCUGAACUCCCAAGUGCUUGCUGAAGUUUUUGAGUUGUUCCUGUUAACUGUCUGGUUGCCUACUUGCUGUUUUUUCUUUGUUGUACUAAAAUUGCAACUGGUAUGUAUUUCUAGUUAAAUAAGACUCUCCAACUAUGUGUGUUCGCUUCUCUUCUUCUACACAUUCUUCACUAUGUGUUUAUGUCCUGUAACUGUAGCAGGUUCUAUUCUUUCUUUUAUAUCCUUGCAUCUUCAGCCUAUUGUGCUUUCUUAUAUUUUGCUUAAUGUCAGUGUAUGCUUUUGUAUGGAAAUCCCUUCCCUAUAUCCCUUUUUGUGUGUGAGUACUGUUAUGAACCAUGGCAUUACCUUAUAUUGAUGUCCAUGAUCCAGAACUCGACUCUCCUGAGCCUCUACUCAAAUGCUUUCCCAUUCUCUCUCUCCUUUAUGUGUUGAGCUUUAAUUUGGGUCUAGUAGUGUCCUAAUCACCACUCAGACCCUAUGUUUGACUCCCUAGAGUCUGCUCCUAUUUGUUUGACCUAAGUAGGGGGGUCAGGGGUGUGCCAGCCUAUGCCAUUGCUUGGUAUGACCACCCUCUGUUAUUGUUCCUACAUCACUUUGCACUCAUUCCUAGUUCCUAAGUUCUACCCCAUUGGUAAGCCAUGCUUUGGGACCCUGGAAUUCCCUCUGAAGGUUGAUGCCCGAGGGCUGGUAAUUCCACACAUGCACUAUUCUCCCACAAUAUUUAUUCUUCAGAGUCUAAGCAUUGCUUGGGGUCCUGGAGGAUCCUUGGAACUUUGAAACACUCUGAGUAAGAGGAAUCCUUAGAACCUGGACUUCGAAUUUGGUGAAACGCAUGUUAUUCGUUAUUAAGAUUGAGUUAGGCUGCUCGGAUCUAGCUGUAGGCUGGGAUGUACUUUGAUUUGUUUCCUUUAUUCUGGCUCUAUAAAAAUUCUAUGUAAAAAGAACUAGGGGAAAAGUACUAGUGAAAAGUAUGCGGGGUUUACUUUAUUGCAAAAGGGGUAGAUACCACACCUAUAGGUUUGUCCUUACUUAAUCACUUAGAUAUCAUGCAUAUAGGUUCAACGCUUUAAAUCGCCUAGAAAUCAUGUCUAUAGGCUUUUGCACUUUCUUAACUCAAUCAUCUAGAAAUCAUUUCUAUAGGAAUUAAUAUUCAGUGAUGUUACAAAUCAUUAGGAAUCGUGCCUAUAGGACCUACUAAUUAACUAGUUGCUUAUAGAAAUCAUGCAUAUAAGAAAUGCAUGAAGACUUUCUAUACCUCAGCUUCUGCAUUAGGUUCUUAAUCAGUAACUUGUAUAAAAUACCACAACUUCUGACAAUUGGAUUCUUUUAUCCAACUCUAUGUGUUAAAAUAAAUUGUCCGCCGUUUAAUUUUAAAAGACCAAAUCAGUAUAUGCAAGACAUGCUAAACUAAUUACUAUGUGAAUUAUGGGAUUUACAUGAGCCUUUUGUGUGUUUGUUUUAUUUCCCUUUUAUCUGCUAUUUGUUUUGAUUGACGCCCUAGUAUUUUAUCCUUUUGAGACUCUAUAUAUACCUAUACUCCCUUGCCUCUCCCUGAUUAUUAUAAGUCCUAAAGCCCUAAGACUGAUAGGUUGGGACGGAUAUCAGCAUGCAAAAAGUGAAUGAGACAAAUUGUGUUUAACACCUUAACAUGGUAGAAAGUGUAGAAUAUGGAUAUGAUGAGUGGUGCGUUAAUAUCUCCUGUGAGAAUGAUUGCUGGGUAUUUUUCUUUAUUUAUAUGAUGUGAUGUUUUCAUAAAAAUUAAUGUUUUCUUCAAUUAACCCUUUUCUUUCCAAAACCACUUAUGUUUUUUUUUUCUCUCUUUUCUUUUAAAACUUUUAACUUAUUUGUAUUCCCUAUGGACAAACCUUAUUUGUUUACUUCUACUAUUUUUAAAGUCAUAAUUAAGUAGGGUCGGGAACUACACUAGUAGAUCUUUAAGGGUGCCUAACACCUUCCCCUCAAGAUAAUCAUAAGCCCUUGCCCGAACUCUGAUUUUUCUUUCAAAAAAAUAUUCUUCUUUUCUUUAAAGUGUCCUAAUGCACUAUAAACAUUAGGUGGAGACUCUUCAAAUUCCACAACCCGAUUCCUCAAAAAGGUAACAAGAGUUGUUUUUCCAUAAUGUCGUAAGUCCAAUUUCUCCUUAGAAAAAGGGGGGCGCGACAGCAUAGCGACUUUGCUGGGGAUUUCUUUUAGGAUUUUACCAUUAUGUGCUUUUGUGACUUUAUUGUUUCCAUAAUUGCAUUUAUUUUCUGUCUUUAAUUAUUUCAUCAUAAUUACUAACUUGGCUCUUCAUGUUUUUCCUUUAUUUUAAUUUCUUUCAUUACUACAUUAUCAUUAUUUUGAUUCUGUUAUGAUAGUUUGAUCAUUUAUUGUAAUCUUUACUUUGUGAACGUGAAAUACAUGUUAUAUGCUUUGCUAUUGUAACUGCAUUCUUCAACAUCAUAUUCCACUCGUGCCAAAACAAAUCUUAUAACAACGCUUAUAAUGAGUGUUUGGAUCCUUUCAAUAUUAUAACCUUCUAAGUGUGGCAAAGGCAUAUUUACGGUAAAACCAAUUGAUCACCGGUGUAGUCGACGAUUCCACACGUUUACCUCUUGGGUUGUCCGCUCAAGGGUACCUUGUCUAGCACUUUAAAAGUAGAAACCUUAUUCCGUUGAAUUGUUAAUGCUUCAUGGUCAAACUUAGCUGAGUCAGUUAUCUUGUCCGCGUAAUGACCCAUUAAGAUACCCUAAACAGAAGUCCAUCGGGUCUCCUAGAAACCCAAACGGAAACCUCCACGUUAUGUUCCUUUAUUUGGAGAACUAAAUGUCUUUAUUGCUAACUAUUGAUUUAAAUAGUCGAGUCUGGUGGGGUUAAGGGACUAACACUUUGUUUUGCAGAAAAUGAGGAAUGCAGUCCCCAGAUUUGGUAUGGUAACCAAC